CAAUAGCGUAUAUUAAAGUUGUUGCAGUUAAAAAGCUCGUAGUUGGAUUUCUGUGAGAGUGCCGGUGUCGGCUGAUGCUUGUACGCAGGCGCUCUUACAUCCUUCUGUUAACUGUUCUUGGCAUUUUAUUGCUGGUUCAGGGCUCAGAUAUUUUACCUUGAGAAAAUUAGAGUGUUUCAGGCAGGCUUAUGCCGGAAUACAUUAGCAUGGAAUAAUGGAAUAGGACCUGUGCGUCUCUCGGGGCGCCGGUCUCCGUUGUUGGUUUCGGGGACUAAUGUAAUGAUUAAUAGGGAUAGUUGGGGGCAUUAGUAUUUAAUAGUCAGAGGUGAAAUUCUCGGAUUUGUUAAAGACUAACUUAUGCGAAAGCAUUUGCCAAGGAUGUUUUCAUUA
rnacentral:rRNA from 1 species